rnacentral:rRNA from 1 species
UACGAGGGGGGCGAGCGUUGUUCGGAAUUAUUGGGCGUAAAGGGUGCGUAGGUGGUUGUGCAAGUCUGAUGUGAAAUCUCCGGGCUCAACCCGGAAAUGGCAUUGGAAACUGCAUGGCUAGAGGGUUGGAGGGGGGACUGGAAUACUUGGUGUAGCAGUGAAAUGCGUAGAGAUCAGGAAGAACAUCGGUGGCGAAGGCGCUCUGCUGGACCAUAACUGACACUCAGGGACGAAAAGCUAGGGGAGCGAAUGGG